GACGAACGCUGGCGGCGUGCUUAACACAUGCAAGUCGAACGGAAAGGCCCUGCUUGCAGGGUACUCGAGUGGCGAACGGGUGAGUAAAACGUGGGUGAUCUGCCCUGCACUUCGGGAUAAGACUGGGAAACUGGGUCUAAUACAGGAUAGGAGACCUCUUUAGUGUGAUGGUUGGAAAGUUUUUUCGGUGUAGGAUGAGCUCGCGGCCUAUCAGCUUGUUGGUGGGGUAAUGGCCUACCAAGGCGGCGGCGGGUAGCCGGCCUGAGAGGGUGGACGGCCACAUUGGGACUUGGAUACGGCCCAGACUCCUACGGGAGGCAGCAGUGGGGAAUAUUGCACAAUGGGCGCAAGCCUGAUGCAGCGACGCCGCGGGGGGGAAGACGGCCUUCGGGUUGUAAACUCCUUUCGCUAGGGACGAAGCUUUUUGUGACGGUACCUAGAUAAGAAGCACCGGCUAACUACGUG
rnacentral:rRNA from 1 species